rnacentral:rRNA from 1 species
UCGGAAGGCAGCAGUGGGGAAUAUUGCACAAUGGGCGAAAGCCUGAUGCAGCUAUGCCGCGUGUAUGAAGAAGGCCUUAGGGUUGUAAAGUACUUUCAUCGGGGAGGAAAAACAAAACUAAUAAUUUUAUUUCUUGACGUUACCCGAAAAAGAAGCACCGGCUAACUCCGUGCCAGCAGCCGCGGUAAUACGGAGGGUGCUAGCGUUAAUCAGAAUUACUGGGCGUAAAGAGCACGUAGGUGGUUUUUUUAAGUCAGAUGUGAAAUCCCUGGGCUUAACCUAGGAACUGCAUUUUGAAACUGAAAUACUAGAGUAUCGUAGAGGGAGGUAGAAUUCUAGGUGUAGCGGUGAAAUGCGUAGAUAUCUGGAGGAAUACCUGUGGCGAAAGCGGCCUCCUAAACGAAUACUGACACUGAGGUGCGAAAGCGUGGGGAGCAAACAGGGAUUAGAUACC